CGACUGUUCGCGUGAAAGACUGAGCGGCAACUGGGCAUCGCCGAUGCCGGCGACAUGGUUUUCUACCCCCAACGGAUCCAUCAGCCACCGCCAUCCCCGCUCCAGCCCAUCCCAGCCCAUCAAACGGCGGCAGUUCAGCGGUGUCGGCCAAAGAGAGGCGCUCGUUGAAGUCAUGCAGUCGGGCAUGGUGGUGGUUGGCCUCCGGUUUGUGGUCGUCUCUUCGCCAGCAGCGCCGCAGUCGACCAAACACCAGGCGGAGCACCGUGAAGAUGUCGAUUAGCAAGUUCUGGACGAGCACAUGGACCAUCUCCACCAGACCCAUCACACUGACGCCCACGAAGAGGGCCAGUACACCUCCAAAGGAUACUGUACAGCAUAUACGAGAUACAAUUACAUAUAUGUAUGACAGCUUAUAAAUAAAAGUUCGAAAGGCACUUACCCACUAA